rnacentral:rRNA from 1 species
GAUGAAUGCUGGCGGCGUGCCUUACACAUGCAAGUCGAACGGCAGCACGGGUGCUUGCACCUGGUGGCGAGUGGCGAACGGGUGAGUAAUAUAUCGGAACGUACCUUAUUGUGGGGGAUAACGCAGCGAAAGCUGUGCUAAUACCGCAUAAUCCCUAAGGGGGAAAGCGGGGGACCGUAAGGCCUCGCGCAAUUAGAGCGGCCGAUACCUGAUUAGCUAGUUGGGGAGGUAAAGGCUCACCAAGGCAACGAUCAGUAGCUGGUCUGAGAGGACGAUCAGCCACACUGGGACUGAGACACGGCCCAGACUCCUACGGGAGGCAGCAGUGGGGAAUUUUGGACAAUGGGGGCAACCCUGAUCCAGCAAUGCCGCGUGAGUGAAGAAGGCCUUCGGGUUGUAAAGCUCUUUUGUCAGGGAAGAAACAGCAGCUCUAACACAGUUUGCGAAUGACGGUACCUGAAGAAUAAGCACCGGCUAACUACGUGCCAGCAGCCGCCGUAA